GCAGUUCUCUUCUGCAGAUCAUUACGGCCAAACUGGAAGUAUCUGUAGAAGGCUGAUGAAUUUCUUGAAGUAACACUUGUCACACGCGGUGCAGAGAUUUUUUAAAAAAAAAACUAAGUAAACACAGUUCUCUGGGGGCCGAUUCCUGGAUGCCUCUGCCUCCGAGUGUGCGGCAAGAGCACAGCGCCCAUCCUACAAUUUAGGAUGCAGUGGAUUCAAGCUUUCUACCAGAGCUUCCGCCCAGCUCCCCUAAAAUAAACGAUCGCCUCUGAUCGGAUGUGCCAGGUGAAAAUGGGUAGAAUUAAAACUGUCAAUUCUGCUUCCAACGUGUGUCCUUCGAUGGAGUUCAAAGCUUUUAAAGUGAUGGAUUCGCAGCUGAGAUGUGGAUGCUUAAACCUGAAGCUUUCCGAGUGCUCGGAGAAAAGGCCGGAGUGGGCAGAGUUGAGAAGAAAGGCGGAAGGCUCCCUUUGAAAGUUACAAAUGGUGAAAAAGACCUGUAAUCCGAUGUGGAAAAUUGAGAAAUAGAGGCGGUGCACACUUUAGCUUAGGCAGAGGUUGCUGAAUCCUUUGAAGAAACUGACACGGAUUUUCCAGAGAUGGGAGGAAAGAGAGAGAUGAGGUGAGGGUGGGGGGAUGCUGGGGUGGGCAUUUUAUGUAAAUGAGUAAAUUUGAAGUGAGGCACAAAUCUAGAAGAGUAAAACUGACAGUUCUGACAGUAUUGACAGCAUAAAUAUAUGUUUGAACACUGCACUUUCAGACACUUAACCGAUGAAGCAAUAAAAAAAAAAUUC